rnacentral:rRNA from 1 species
CCUACGGGUGGCAGCAGUGAGGAAUAUUGGUCAAUGGACGAGAGUCUGAACCAGCCAAGUAGCGUGAAGGAUGACUGCCCUAUGGGUUGUAAACUUCGUUUAUAUGGGAAUAAAAUGUUCCACGUGUGGGAUUUUGUAUGUACCAUAUGAAUAAGGAUCGGCUAACUCCGUGCCAGCAGCCGCGGUAAUACGGAGGAUCCGAGCGUGAUCCGAAUUUAUUGGGUUUAAAGGGAGCGUAGGUGGAUUGUUAAGUCAGUUGUGAAAGUUUGCGGCCCAACCGUAAAAUUGCAGUUGAAACUGGCAGUCUUGAGUACAGUAGAGGUUGGCGGAAUUCGUGGUGUAGCGGUGAAAUGCUUAGAUAUCACGAAGAACUCCGAUUGCGAAGGCAGUUCACUGGACUGCAACUGACACUGAGGCUCGAAAGUGUGGGUAUCAAACAGGAUUAGAUACCCCUGUAGUC